UGGAGUAUAGCUCAGUGGUAGAGCGCCGGAUGUUUGUCCGGAGGUCGUGGGUUCGAAUCCCGCUGCACCGACCA
rnacentral:tRNA from 1 species